GGGGUGUGGCACGGCUGCUACCCAGGAGCAUGUGCUGAAAGGAAGCCAGGAAGGUGGGCAAAGGCCAGAAGCUGCCAGGCCAUGCACACCUUCGAGGGUGGACUUGGUCUUGGAGCUGACAGAGAGUGACUGGGGGUUGUACCAUGAGGCUGCUAGACUGGAAGAAGUGAGACUGGAGGUAAGGGACCCAGCCGGCAGCCUAGUGGGAGAGAAAGGAGAGAUGUAAAGAGGUCCAAAACCAACGCGGUGACAGCAGGAACGGAGAGGAAGUGAGUCACUGCGGCCUGGAGGUGACUGGAUGCAGGAGGGACAGGCCAAGUCUGGGAUGCUUCAGGUAACCCGAAGCCAUCCAUCAGGACGAGGAAGCCAUCCAUCAGGACGAGGGAGACAGCCCUUGAGGGGGCGGGGCGUAAAGAGGAGGAAUAACAGAAUAAGAGGUGCCGGGCACUGAACCAGGAGCUGUAGGUGAAUUACUUCAUUUACUCCUCACACGGACCCUUCGAGAAGAUGAGGAAACUGUUUGUCCCAUGACGAGCUAGGGACAGAAUCCAGGGCCUUCAGUAUCCACUCAGUGCUCUUGUCCCUACAGCACAAAGGAUCCAGACAAGAAGAACUGGAAGAGGCUACGAUGCCCCUAAGCCUAACCCUACCUCUGCUCCCGGAGGGGCCCCAGAGCCACGGCCACCCUCCUCUGCGCUCUACGGGCCACACAGCACUGCCUGUGCCCUUGUUUCCCUCGUCUCCAAAUUUUAGGGGUCACUGUCAGCCCCACAUAUCACCAACAGCCGCCAACCAUCACAGAGAACUGGAAAUAUCCGGACUGGCCCACGCUGCUGGAUCACCGAUGCUGCUGCAAUGUCUAGACAGAGCGCGCACCUUCCUGUCCCCCGACAAGCACCUGGACAGCCCAUGAGUGUCCCGGGAGCACCUGCUUGGUGACCAGCGUGGCAGACCAAGAAAUCACACAUUUGGGCAGCGACUUUCUCCAAGUUCUUCUUUCUGCCAAGCACACAAAUGAACAG